rnacentral:rRNA from 1 species
AUUGAACGCUGGCGGCAGGCCUAACACAUGCAAGUCGAACGAGUGGCAGACGGGUGAGUAAUGUCUGGGAAACUGCCUGAUGGAGGGGGAUAAAUACUGGAAACGGUAGCUAAUACCGCAUACCAUCGGAUGUGCCCAGAUGGGAUUAGCUAGUAGGUGGGGUAACGGCUCACCUAGGCGACGAUCCCUAGCUGGUCUGAGAGGAUGACCAGCCACCCUGGGAUGGAGACACGGUCCAGACUCCUACGGGAGGCAGCAGUGGGGAAUAUUGCACAAUGGGCGAAAGCCUGAUGCAGCCAUGCCGCGUGUAUGAAGAAGGCCUUCGGGUUGUAAAGUACUUUCAGCGGGGAGGCGUUACCCGCAGAAGAAGCACCGGCUAACUCCGUGCCAGCCGCCGCGGUAAUAC